rnacentral:lncRNA from 1 species
CUCUUUCUCACUCGAUGAAUCUAAGUUAGAAGAUCCAUCACGAUUAACCCUAGCAGUUUUUAAGGCCAAAGACUAUUCUUUGCAAGUUUAGCUAAGGUUAGCUCAUAAGUCUAAAUCGACCCUACCAACUCUUCAAUUCUAAUGGAAUCUGCAUCCUUACUUUCUUCAAUCGCCAUGAUUUUAGGCCUAAAAUGCUCGGGUAAAGAUCUAAGGAUUUUAUUAACGAUUUAAGGCUCGGGAAUUCUCACCUAGGUUGAAGUUGGAAUUGACAAUGUCGUUAAUGCUAGCAUAGAAAUCAUCAAAAGUUUCAUCAUCUUUCAUCCUAAUCUCUUCAAACCUAGUGGUUAAUAUGUAUGUGCUCCUUCAUGUGUGGUUUGUACAAUAUCCCAAACCUCUUUGGCUACCUCACAUAUGGACACUCUCCCAAACUCCUCCGUGGAUACUGCCAUAAAUAGAGCAUGUAAGGCUUUACUAUUCCAAUUGCACUCAUCUAAGUACAUUUUAGUCCAAUUAGCAAUAGGAGUGGGAGUUACUACAUUGUCGACCAUAGUGCUAGGGGCAGUCCAACCAUUAACUACACUCAACCAUAUCCAUUCAUCUAUAGAUUUAAGGAAAGCUCUCAUCCUAACUUUCAG